AGUUUUUCUUGACCUUUUGGCUAAGAUCCAGUGUAAGUAUCUGUUCUUAUCAGUUUAACAUCUAAUACACCCUUUGUCUGAGGACAACAUAGUAAAUGGAUUUUAGGAACAGAGAGAUGGAAUAGGAGCUUGCGCCAUCCAUGCUGCUCAUAGAGGGUAUUGCAGUGCCUCUGGAACAACGCGCCACUU